rnacentral:miRNA from 1 species
CACUACCCUCCGACGAUGAUGAUCAGGUGCUGGUCACGUUGCACGGAAAGGAGUGAGUUAUCGAGGCUACGCUGCUUCCCCGGGUAACUGGACGCUCUCAAGCCCGCACGACCGUACCCCUCGGACCCUGGGGAAAGAGCAUGCUUUUUUUCGCGCCGAAAACUGCUGCCAGUUGCCCGGGUAACCGGUGCAGCCUCGAUAACUCACCCUUCCGUGCAACGUGACGAGCGCCUGAUAAUCGUCGUUGGAGGGCAGUG